UACGUGAGGGGCGAACGUUGUUCGGUGUCACUGGGCUUAAAGGGUGCGUAGGUGGUUUCGUAAGUAAGGUGUGAAAGCCCUCGGCUUACCCGGGGAAUUGCGCCUUAUACUGCGAGACUUGAGGAUUUCAGGGGAAAGGGGAACUCCAGGUGUAGCGGUGAAAUGCGCAGAUAUCUGGGGGAAGGCCGGCGGCGAAGGCGCCUUUCUGGGAAAUUCCUGACACUGAGGCACGAAAGCGUGGGGAGCAAACAGG
rnacentral:rRNA from 1 species